rnacentral:rRNA from 1 species
CCCUGAAAACCGGUCUCAGUUCGGAUCGCAGUCUGCAACUCGACUGCGUGAAGGUGGAGUCGCUAGUAAUCGCGGAUCAGCAACGCCGCGGUGAAUGCGUUCCCGGGCCUUGUACACACCGCCCGUCAAGUCAUGAAAGUGGGCAGCACCCGAAGACGGUGGCCUAACCCUUGUGGGGGGAGCCGUCUAAGGUGAGGCUCGUGAUUGGGACUAAGUCGUAACAAGGUACC